GAUGAUAAAUGAUGACCAUGUCAACAAUCUCUGAUUUCUAGUUUGUUUCAGUUAAUAGAGGAGACCUGGAAAAGGAUCAGAAGGAGGGAGAGUGAAGUCAGCAUAUUUGUGUUCCAUAGUUCUUCCUUUAAGAUUGCCUCACGCUAACUGUUCCCCUGUGGUGAAGACCACUGCUUCUUUGGAGAAAGUUGUGCCAAUAAAAGCAUUAUAUUUUUCUGGAACAUAAAGUGUGCUCAGUAAAUGCUGGUUGAAGAUGUGAAUGAAUGAGAAAACCAUAUUAAAAUUUACAUCAACUGGAGGAAAGUUCUCCACUAGCAUUCUAAUUCUCAUCAAUAUCGGCCAGGUGACUGGGUGUACGUGCAUGCAGAGAUACCAACACUGGACACUUCAACCUCGCUGGAAGGGACCUUACAUCAUGAUCCUGACCACUCCCACCACUUUCAAGGUCGACAGGAUUACUCCCUGGGUCCACUACACCCACGUCUGGCCAGCUGACCCACACACUGUUCUCAAGGACUUUGUUCCAGAAUGGAAAAGCCAACCAGACAAGGACAAUCCCCUAAAGCUAAGACUGCGCCGUUCUCACUUAUUUCCCACCUCCAAGACUCCCUAG
rnacentral:lncRNA from 1 species